rnacentral:rRNA from 1 species
CCUACGGGGGGCUGCAGUGGGGGAUAUUGGACAAUGGGGGGAACCCUGAUCCAGCGACGCCGCGUGAGUGAAGAAGUAUUUCGGUAUGUAAAGCUCUGUCAGCAGGGAAGAAAGAAAUGACGGUACCUGACCAAGAAGCCCCGGCUAACUACGUGCCAGCAGCCGCGGUAAUACGUAGGGGGCAAGCGUUAUCCGGAAUUACUGGGUGUAAAGGGAGCGUAGACGGCAGCGCAAGUCUGGAGUGAAAUGCCGGGGCCCAACCCCGGAACUGCUCUGGAAACUGUGAAGCUGGAGUGCAGGAGAGGUAAGCGGAAUUCCUGGUGUAGCGGUGAAAUGCGUAGAUAUCAGGAGGAACACCGGCGGCGAAGGCGGCUUACUGGACUGUAACUGACGUUGAGGCUCGAAGGCGUGGGGAGCAAACAGGAUUAGAUACCCGAGUAGUC